rnacentral:rRNA from 1 species
UACGGAGGAUGCGAGCGUUAUCCGGAUUUAUUGGGUUUAAAGGGUGCGUAGGCGGACGCUUAAGUCAGCGGUAAAAUUGCGGGGCUCAACCUCGUCGAGCCGUUGAAACUGGGUGCCUUGAGUGGGCGAGAAGUACGCGGAAUGCGUGGUGUAGCGGUGAAAUGCAUAGAUAUCACGCAGAACUCCGAUCGCGAAGGCAGCGUACCGGCGCCCAACUGACGCUGAAGCACGAAGGCGUGGGUAUCGAACAGG